CCUGGGUAGGUAGAUACUCCUCCAUUAUUGUGUUAAAAUUCGGCUGUGUAUCAAAUGAAAUGAGCCUCCGAAACUCGCUCCGAAAUGAUUUUGAUGGACUCUCUGAAGAAUAUGAUGUGAUAGACAGUGUUAGCUCUGCCUCUGGCGAGAGAUCACAACCUAUGCCGUAUGGAGCGGCUGAUGGGCCCUCUCCAGCAGAGAGUUAUAUAAAGCCUGGCUUCCUCGGAAAUGUUCGUAAUAUUAGGAGUUUCAAACGUGCUGAGUGGGCAUUCAUUGUGAUUGGUGUGAUUUCAUUCAUGACGUCACUCGGUUUUACAAUUGAAAGAUUAGUUCACUUUUCCAAAAAUUUUAGUUCGUCUGAGAAGGUCUUUGAACAUUUUUGCCUUCCUAAUAAUUCCAUAAACUGUAUUGAUCACUGUCACCAUUGGACUUGUCUUAGUGACUUCACCUUUGCUCUGAUUCUCAUUGUCAACUUAAUAUUUGCUUUAUUUUACGGUGUUGAUGGACUGAUAAGAGAGAGAGGGUUAGAAUUGCUGGGUGUACUGAUACCAAUUGUUAUUGUACUCUUUUAUCUAUCUGCUAACUUGGUCUAUCACUUGAUUCACAUUAAGGAUAAGGAUGAAGGCAGUUUUCCUCAUGGUGAACUAGCACUUAGAAUUUUAUAGCAAUGGUUUUUAUUUAGGUCAGAUUAGUGACCUCAUGGAUACUUGGUCCGAUACUGGCAGUCUCCACUGUAGCCCUUUACAUUAAAAUGGGAAAAUUGAUGUUCAUACUUUUAGACCGGGACAAAAGAAUGAAGCGUAACUAGAUCUAUUUAACAGCAUUUUUUAGAAUAUUUUAUUUAUUUUUUAAAUAGGAAUUUAUCAAUUCUCUUCUUUUUUAUCAGUUCUUAUAUUCUUCAACAUCCAGUUACUAUUUAAUCUAGUUAUACUGGCAUUCUCACGUGAUACCACUUUCCUCCAUACACCAGAAAUGGUUGCUUUGCCAAUACUUGUUGCUUACACUAUAGCUCUUUCUCUUGUUGGCUGGUAUGGGAUCUGGUAUGAACAUAAAAGCAUGAUGGUUGUCUUUGUGACUUUUUUAUUGCCAACUCCAGCGUAUUACAUUUACAAGAUAUAUAACGUUGCAAAGAACUAUUCCUUUUAUGAUAAUCAUCCAUAUGACUAUGCCAGUCAUAAUGAGGACAUCAGUCAUUAUGAAUAUGUGGCCAUAUUCCUGUUCAUCAUAAGUGGACUUGGUCUGUUGGCUUGUGUCCUCAUUUGUAUUGUUACUAUCAGAGUCAUCAUGAAUUUUGGAAAAGGUCUCAAAGAGAAAAUUCCGCCACCUUUCUCCUUAUACACGUGCUGCAACAACUAAUAACUCAUACAUUAUACUUUUAUUUUUUGUUUCUCUUCCUUUAUUUUGAUUAUUAUUGCUGCUUCUACUCAAAACUUAUUAUAAUCCCCAACACAA